rnacentral:rRNA from 1 species
AUGAGUCGACCUGAUGGGAUCAACAUCCCCGACGGCAAGUUCUACCUUGGAGAUGCUGGCUAUGCAUGUCGGCCGGGUAUUCUCCCACCCUUCAAGAAAACAAGGUACCAUCUCAACGAGUUCUCUGGUAGGAACUAUCCUAGGACUGCACAGGAGCUGUUUGAUCUCAGACACUCUAGCCUUAGAGUAACUGUUGAGAGGGCAUUUGGAGAUCUAAAGAAUGGGUUUAAGAUCCUGGAUCAGAAGCCAUUCCACCCAUACCCCACUCAGGUUAAGCUAGUUCUUGCUUGUUGCAUUCUGCAUAACUGGAUCCUCCAGUGGGGCUUUGAUGAACACGUGCUUGAGGAGGAAGAUGUUGAGCCUAACGAUGUUGUAAGCUCCGGCCAUGGUGUGGAGGCAUUUGACAAUGACGCUUGGAAGAACAAAAGGUUGGAGUGGGCAGAGGCGAUGUGGCUUAACAGAGGUCAGUGCAGGAUUUGA